UGGGGAAUCUUGGACAAUGGGCGAAAGCCUGAUCCAGCCAUGCCGCGUGAGUGACGAAGGUCUUCGGAUUGUAAAGCUCUUUUUGGCGGGGACGAUAAUGGCGGUACCCGCAGAAUAAGCCCCGGCUAACUUCGUGCCAGCAGCCGCGGUAAUACGAAGGGGGCUAGCGUUGUUCGGAAUUACUGGGCGUAAAGCGUGCGCAGGCGGUUUGGUAAGACAGAUGUGAAAUCCCCGGGCUUAACCUGGGAACUGCAUUUGUGACUGCCAGACUAGAGUGUAGCAGAGGGGGGUAGAAUUCCACGUGUAGCAGUGAAAUGCGUAGAUAUCAAGAGGAACACCUGAGGUGAAGACGGGUUGCUGGGCUGACACUGACGCUGAGGCGCGAAAGCCAGGGGAGCAAACGGGAUUAGAUACCCGAGUAGUCCCUGAGCGGGCUGGCAAGGC
rnacentral:rRNA from 1 species